rnacentral:rRNA from 1 species
GACGAACGCUGGCGGCGUGCUUAACACAUGCAAGUCGAACGGAAAGGCCCUGCUUUUGUGGGGUGCUCGAGUGGCGAACGGGUGAGUAACACGUGAGUAACCUGCCCUUGACUUUGGGAUAACUUCAGGAAACUGGGGCUAAUACCGGAUAGGAGCUCCUGCUGCAUGGUGGGGGUUGGAAAGUUUCGGCGGUUGGGGAUGGACUCGCGGCUUAUCAGCUUGUUGGUGGGGUAGUGGCUUACCAAGGCUGUGACGGGUAGCCGGCCUGAGAGGGUGACCGGCCACAUUGGGACUGAGAUACGGCCCAGACUCCUACGGGAGGCAGCAGUGGGGAAUAUUGCACAAUGGGCGGAAGCCUGAUGCAGCAGCGCCGCGUGCGGGAUGACGGCCUUCGGGUUGUAAACCGCUUUCGCCUGUGACGAAGCGUGAGUGACGGUAAUGGGUAAAGAAGCACCGGCUAACUACGUG